AUCGCUUCUCGGCCUUUUGGCUAAGAUCAAAGUGUAGUAUCUGUUCUUUUCAGCUUAAUAUCUGAAAGUUCCCGCACUGCGGGUAGUGCUGGGUCAUUCCUGAUUUUACGUAAAACGAAACGAACCGGUUUUUUACAUUUUCAAAACAGUUCUUUGAAACGGUUAUAAAAAAAACCGAUUUGUU